rnacentral:SRP_RNA from 1 species
GGGAGAUCGGUGCUGGGCGGACUACUCGCCAACCCGGUCAGAUCCGGAAGGAAGCAGCCGUAACGAGAUUCGGUUCGGGUCGGCAUUCGGUCUCCCACC